rnacentral:snoRNA from 1 species
GUGAUGUGGGUUUUAAGUACUGACUAGUGAUGUAGAACCCACGAACUGA